rnacentral:rRNA from 1 species
GGACGAACGCUGGCGGCGUGCUUAACACAUGCAAAGUUCGGAACGAGGGAUAGUUGAGAGCUUGCUCUUGGCUAUUCGAGUGCGGACGGGUGAGUAACGCGUGAACAAUCUGUCUCACACAGGGGAAUAACGCAUCGAAAGAUGUGCUAAUACCGCAUAGGACCACGGUUUCGCAGUGGGACUGAGGUGAAAGGAGGAAUCCGGUGUGAGGUGAGUUCGCGUCUGUAUUAGAUAGUUGGUGAGGUAACGGCCCACCAAGUCAACGAUCAGUAGCCGACCUGAGAGGGUGAUCGGCCACAUUGGGACUGAGACACGGCCCAGACUCCUACGGGAGGCAGCAGUGGGGAAUAUUGGGCAAUGGGCGCAAGCCUGACCCAGCAACGCCGCGUGAAGGAAGAAGGUUUUCGGAUCGUAAACUUCUGUCCUUGGUGAAGAGCGAAAGACGGUAGCCAAGGAGGAAGCCCGGCUAACUACGUGCC